rnacentral:misc_RNA from 1 species
AAGUCGUAACAAGGUUUCCGUAGGUGAACCUGCGGAAGGAUCAUUAUUGAAUAUGCUUGAUAGGUUGUAGCUGGCUCUUCGGAGUAUGUGCACGCUUAUCUUGACUUAAUUCAUCCACCUGUGCACCUUUUGUAGUCUUGGGGGUUGAGAUCGGUCGACUAUCGGAUGGCCAAGGUCAUUCCGGAUGUGAGGAAUGCUGAGUGCGAAAGCAUACAGCUCUUCUCAAAUGACCUGUCUUCCCCGAGUACUAUGUAUUCAUAUACCACAUAGUAUGUUGUAGAAUGUGAUCAAUGGGUCUAUGUACCUAUAAUAAUCAUAUACAACUUUCAGCAACGGAUCUCUUGGCUCUC